rnacentral:tRNA from 1 species
GGGAUCGUGGGGUAGCCUGGACUAUCCUCGGGCGUUCGGGAUGCUCGGACCUGAGUUCAAAUCUCAGCGAUCCCA